AAUCAACGCUGGCGGCGUGCCUCAGACAUGCAAGUCGAACGCGAAAGUUUCCUUCGGGAGAUGAGUAGAGUGGCGCACGGGUGAGUAACACGUGAGUAAUUUACCUUCGGGUGGGGAAUACCAAUCGGAAACGAUUGUUAAUACCGCAUAAUGCAGCGGCAUCAAUGAUGACAGUUGUUAAAGCGGGGGAGUUGGAGCAAUCCGACCUCGCGCCUGAAGAGAAGCNCGCGGCAGAUUAGCUAGUUGGUAAGGUAAUGGCUUA
rnacentral:rRNA from 1 species